UGCCAGUGCACAUAACUCUUACUGAGAAACCGACAACUAGAGUAAUAGCUCAGGGUGGGCACACAAGUCCUUAUGAACAUUUUAAGAACUUUGGUAUCCGCGUGGCUGUGGUAAUCUUCGUUGUUAUGGUGACCGUGUUCAUCUGGUGUAUAUACAAAAGAUACCAGCAGAUAAAAGUAGAAUCAUCAGCCACAACGGUAACAU